AAAAAAUAGAGGCUGCGUGUGAUUUCAGUUCCGGUUCAAUGCAUUUGUAAUGAGGGGGCGCACUUCUGUGCAGUGUGCACAAGUCGUCGUUGCUAGCAGGCUGCACCCGACAGCCAAGGGAUUUACAUGUGGCAUAGCAAGUCUCUGAAGCAGUGUCUCACACUCGAGUCCUGACCGAGGGCCUUGAAACUGGCAUGCCUGUUCAAAACAUCUCCAGGACAACAAGAAGAUGAAGGAGAAUGCGUGCAGUGGGCUGAAUGGAGAAUUCGUGAAUCAAAGGCAACACCAUCAAAUGCAUUAUGAAAUUAAGCACUAUCAGGUUGUCAAGGCUGUAGCUCAGCGGGUACAUGGUCCUGGAUACCAGAUUUUUUUUUUUUGAAAACUAUUUAUAUAUGGAAUCUGAAUGCACUCCAGGAUAUGCUGCAGUUCUUUGUGCCACAAGAGGCCAAGAAGCUCUACUACAAGACGUUGAGGCAGAAGAUGAAGAUUAUUACAAAUUAUCCAAGUCAGUUCCGACCAAGUAAUAUGAUUGGACAAGAGGCAUUCCAGUGCUGAUAUAGAGUAGCCUGGCGAUGUCAUACUCAUAAUUCUAGUCGGAAUAUGAGGCUGAGACCGAACCAUUGGGCUGUGAUUAUAGGGCGGAACCAGGAAGGAAAAUGCCUCUUCGCUCAAUUGGAUAGACCUAAAACCAAUCAGAGCAACGUAGUAUGUGACGUAUGUUGUGCGAAGCACAGCUAUUCUCAAACUAACUCAACUGAGCGAACUGAGCGCACGUUCGAAGAAGUAGAAAAAGAAGAUGGACAUAAACGAUUUAUGCCUGUUUUGUAAAAAUAAUUUAAGGAUACACGGACAAAUUGACAACACGGUCAGCAUUUUUGGGAAAAAAAGUAAAAGCGCUGAGCGCUCUUUGGUGACGUGGUUGAUUACGUUAAUGUGUAUCAUCUGUCCAUCAACGUAUAAAGCCCGCCCUUACAAUUUGAUUGGUCAGAUCACUUUUUGAUCUGACCUAAUACCUCCCAACGAGCUCAAUUCCAGACUGAUUCUCCAGACCAAAUAUUUUGUGGGCGGAGUUCAGGCUGGUAUCCAGGCUAGAUAUAGAGUAUAACAGCACUGGGUCUUUUAACUAUACACGUAUCGCUCCGCUUUACGGGUGUUCUCAUAACCGUUAAUGUUAUCAACAAUCUUUUUUGUAGCUUAGAUUGCAGCUAACUUUGCACAGCAAAUAUGAACAUGUUUCCAGGAAUAACAUUGGAGUUGAAUUAAGAAUGGUCGCCAGAAGAGGACCAAGGGAACCUAAUGUAAUGCUAAUGUGUUUAUGUGUUGCUUGGCAACAGUUCAGUCCAGUUGCGGAUCUAUUUGUGUUGGCGGAGCCAAAUAAAUCAUUAAUGAACCAAAGAAAUCUGAUCAUAAUAUGUUAAUUAUUAUUGUUAACUAAUGAUUGGUGCUUGUAGAACUGUUGUAUAAAAGCAAUAUCACUCAGGAGUGAGUGCUGUUGUACUACGGCUGGGAUUCGAAUCACAGCCGUAGUACAACAGCACUCCCUCUCGUGUGAUAUUGCUUAAUUAUUCUGUUCCAAAAUUCCAUAAAAAGUCUGAUUACUAAGAAAUAUUGAUGUAUCGUUACUUUUGUCAGUUUAAAGUUUUUGUUUUAACACAG
ensembl:lncRNA